rnacentral:rRNA from 1 species
CAGUCGCCACGGUAAUACGUAGGUGGCAAGCGUUGUCCGGAAUUAUUGGGCGUAAAGGGCUCGCAGGCGGUUUCUUAAGUCUGAUGUGAAAGCCCCCAGCUCAACCGGGGAGGGUCAUUGGAAACUGUCAAACUUGAGUGCAGAAGGGGAGAGGGGAAUUCCAUGUGUAGCGGUGAAAUGCGUAGAGAUGUGGAGGAACACCAGUGGCGAAGGCGACUCUCUGGUCUGUAACUGACGCUGAGGAGCGAAAGCGUGGGGAGCGAACAGGAUUAGAUACCCCUGUAGUCCCUGUCUCUUAUAC